UACUCAGGAUGCUGAGGCAGGAGAAUGGCGU
rnacentral:piRNA from 1 species